AUCUAGGUCCAGCUCAGGAGUUGCUCAGUGAGUUCUGUAGUCUUGGAAUAAAGAAGAAUAAUGAUCAUUCUUCUUCAAAACUACUUCUAAAGCAACAUGACACUACUGCUACUACUUCAAAAAAGCAACUUUUACAGUCUCUUGACCUUUUGGAACUUCAAAAAAGAAAAACAAAAUUGCUUCAAAUGCUUGAAGAGGUGGAUAGAAGGUACAAGCAUUAUUGUGAUCAAAUGAAGGGUGUUGUAUCAUCAUUUGAAGCAGUG
rnacentral:misc_RNA from 1 species